CAGCAGCCACGGUAAUACGAAGGGGGCUAGCGUUGCUCGGAAUUACUGGGCGUAAAGGGAGCGUAGGCGGACAUUUAAGUCAGGGGUGAAAUCCCGGGGCUCAACCUCGGAAUUGCCUUUGAUACUGGGUGUCUUGAGUGUGAGAGAGGUAUGUGGAACUCCGAGUGUAGAGGUGAAAUUCGUAGAUAUUCGGAAGAACACCAGUGGCGAAGGCGACAUACUGGCUCAUUACUGACGCUGAGGCUCGAAAGCGUGGGGAGCAAACAGGAUUAGAUACCCCUGUAGUCCCUGUCUCUUAUAA
rnacentral:rRNA from 1 species